rnacentral:lncRNA from 1 species
GAGCGGACAAAGGGAAGAAUGAUAUUCAAUUUGUAAAGGUAAGCUAAGAAAUCCAAACCAGUUGUAAUAUUGCUUUCAAUUCCAUUACAAAUUUUCUCUUUCUCACGUUUUGAUGGGCAGAGUGUACGGUCUUUCGUUAAUGUAGAUGACAGACGAGUCUGCAGAAAGUGCAUUGUCUGAAACGAACUUCAAUCUUGUGUCUAUGCCUGGUUCGGGCAAAGGUUCGGACGACAAUGUCAUGCAACAGAUGGAGGACGAUGUAGUGGCAUGGCUGGAACACUGUCGAAUCGUCGAACGCAUUGAGCGUGACUAUCUCUCAUCGAAUAAGGGCCAUCGGUAUCUAUUUUCUACGUCACAAAGCGGUCAUAUACAAAAUAUGCACGUUUACCUGCAGACAUGCUUUCAGGAGUUUAGAAUGUACCCACCCAUAUUUAGGCAUUUUAUGCAUACCCUUUGAAAUUAGUACGGCUUGACAAGCAAUGCAAACAUCG